AUCUGGUUAAAUAAAAGGUUUUAAAAAGUAUUAUUAUUAAUCUAUUUUUUUCUCCCCUUGUCCUCCUUGUGUCAGCAUCAUAUCCACCAAGAAUGGCACAAUCACAUGAAAACUGCUACUGCAGUGUCCCACAGUGCUCGAACAACAAAAAAAACUUUCCAUAUCUUAGUUUUCACGACUUCCCGGCUGAUGCUGAGAUUCGUGCCCGUUGGGUGACGGCAAUAAGAAGAGAUGAGGGGCCAAAUUUUAAAAUCCUUCGUGGCAGCACUUACGUCUGCAGUCAGCACUUCUCUUCGGAAGAGACCUACGUUUCUGCAAGUGGUCGAAAGAAGUUAAAGAAGGGAGCAGUACCAUCUAAAUUCCCGUGGAAUGAUUGGGGCAAAGGAACAGGUGAGCAAUCUGAAAGGCGAGCAAGAAAACGCCUUGCAGCUGACGAUGAGAUGCCUGUUCCAGGGAGCAGCACAGAGGAUUGGUCCCACCUGGAGGCAGUGCAAAGUGAUCAUGACUACAGCUGUCAUUCCUCUCCUGGUAAAAUGGACAGAGCUGCUAGGAAGAUUCAGCAGUUGGAGGUGCAAAUCUUGACACUUGAACACAAAAUCCAGCAGCUGACCCUUAAAAAUCAGGAGCCAUUAAUUUACAAAUUUUGUGUGACUGACUACCGUUACUACACAAGAUUCAGCUCCAAGAAGGUCUUCACUCUGUUUUGGGAGUCUGUUAACCCGUCUGCAUCAAGGCUUAUCUAUUGGUCCAAAGCACAGCGUGCAGCAGAAGUGACGGCAAGUCCACAGCGAAAGCUUGAACUGAUUGAUGAACUGUUCGUGUUUCUCUGUCGCGUUGCAGCUGGGCUUCAGGAGAGGACAUUGUCAUCUCUCUUUGAGGUCAGCGUGUCGACUGUUAGUCGCAUCAUCCUUACAUGGACAAGCUACCUUUAUCAGGUUUUGGGCUCAUUACCAUCUUUUUUUUUUUUUUAUUUCCUUUAUUUAACCAGGUAA